AACGCAAAUUGCACUCUCUGGUAUUCCGGGGAGUAUGCCUGUUUGAGGGUCGCCAAAUCAACAUCGAAAUUCAUUUGCUUUUUUGCAAUUGUUUAUCGGAUUUGAGCCGUCUUUUAUUUUUUUUAAUUAAAGUGGCUUAAAAUGUAUUUUUUAGGUAUCGAAAACGUUAUUUUACGAUCCAAUUGAUCAAAAAAACGAACGUUUCGAAUGCCGUCUUUUAAUGUAAUACGUUUGACUGUGUUGCAAUCAUGGUUUCAUUCGUAUACGAUUUUUAAUUUUUGACCUCAAAUCAGGUAAGAACACCCGCUGAACUUAA
rnacentral:misc_RNA from 1 species